AGAGAAAAAGAAAGAGAGAGAGAGAGAAAGAAAGUAAAAAGAGUUAAAAACAUAUAACAUACAUAUAUCAAUCCAUUUUGAAUAUCCAUUCUAAGUUAAUUUCCGUCAAAAUUAAAUGCUUAUCUUUCACUCUCUCUCUCUCUCUCUCUCUCUCUCUCUCUCACUCAC